rnacentral:rRNA from 1 species
ACUGGUGACGAUAAUGAAGUGGUAAUACCUGUUCCCAUUCCGAAUACAGAAGUCAAGCACUUUAAUGGCGAAGAUACUUUUAACGGGGAAAAUAGCUUAUUGCCAGUA